AUUGAACGCUGGCGGCAGGCUUAACACAUGCAAGUCGAGCGGAGAUGAGGUGCUUGCACCUUAUCUUAGCGGCGGACGGGUGAGUAAUGCUUAGGAAUCUGCCUAUUAGUGGGGGACAACAUUCCGAAAGGAAUGCUAAUACCGCAUACGUCCUACGGGAGAAAGCAGGGGAUCUUCGGACCUUGCGCUAAUAGAUGAGCCUAAGUCGGAUUAGCUAGUUGGUGGGGUAAAGGCCUACCAAGGCGACGAUCUGUAGCGGGUCUGAGAGGAUGAUCCGCCACACUGGGACUGUGACACGGCCCAGACUCCUACGGGAGGCAGAAGUGGGGAAUAUUGGACAAUGGGGGAAACCCUGAUCCAGCCAUGCCGCGUGUGUGAAGAAGGCCUUAUGGUUGUAAAGCACUUUAAGCGAGGAGGAGGCUACUGAGACUAAUACUCUUGGAUAGUGGACGUUACUCGCAGAAUAAGCACCGGCUAACUCUGUGCCAGCCGCCGCCGUAAAAC
rnacentral:rRNA from 1 species